rnacentral:misc_RNA from 1 species
GAUGAAGAACGUAGCGAAAUGCGAUAAGUAAUGUGAAUUGCAGAAUUCAGUGAAUCAUCGAAUCUUUGAAUGCACAUUGCGCCCGCCAGCAUUCUGGCGGGCAUGCCUGUUCGAGCGUCAUUUCAACCCUCGAGCCCCCCCGGGGGCCUCGGUGUUGGGGGACGGCACACCAGCCGCCCCCGAAAUGCAGUGGCGACCCCGCCGCAGCCUCCCCUGCGUAGUAGCACACACCUCGCACCGGAGCGCGGAGGCGGUCACGCCGUAAAACGCCCAACUUUCUUAGAGUUGACCUCGGAUCAGGUAGGAAUACCCGCUGAACUUAAGCAUAUCAAUAAGCGGAGGA